GUGCCUUGGAACUGCCAAGGGCUUGGGAACCCCGAGGCAGUUCGUGAGCUUCGCAAUAUUGCAAGGCAAGAAGGGCCUGCUCUGGUUUUUGUCAUGGAGACUAAGAUAAGAGGCAAGAGAGUUGAGGAUCUGCGGCACACUCUAGGGUUUGCAGGCAGUUUUGUUGUGGACAGCGACGGUCUAAGCGGAGGCUUAGGACUGUUCUGGUCCAAUGAGGUGAAAGUGGAACUGAAGAAUUACAGCAAGAAUCAUAUUGAUGUAUUGGUACAGGAAGAUGCAGAUAGCACGGUCAGCCGGCGCUUCACGGGGUUCUAUGGAGCGCCGGAAGCAGCAGAUCGCCACCAUAGUUGGCGCUUUUUGCGUACUCUGCAUGCCAUGCCUCACGAUGCAUGGCUUUGCAUCGGUGACUUCAACGAAACCCUCUAUCCCCAUGAACACUUUAGUCUCUCAGCCCGUCCUGAGUGGCAGAUGAGGAAUUUUCGUGAAGUGACCGAUGAGUGUGCUCUCCAAGAUCUAGGUUGGUCAGGUGUUUCAUACACAUGGGACAAUGGUCAAGCCGGAGAUGCCAAUGUCAAGGCCAGGCUCGACGGGGCCUUUGCCAAUGAAGCGUUCAGACUUAUGCAGUGGAGUCAGAUCAUUGCUUUGUUGUGA
rnacentral:rRNA from 1 species